CCACCGGCGGACGGCUCAGUAACACGUCGGUAACCUACCCUCGGGAGGGGGAUAACCCCGGGAAACUGGGGCUAAUUCCCCAUAGGCCUGAGGUACUGGAAGGUCCUCAGGCCGAAAGGGACUUAUGUCCGCCCGAGGAUGGGCCGGCGGCCGAUUAGGUAGUUGGUGGGGUAAUGGCCCACCAAGCCGAAGAUCGGUACGGGCUGUGAGAGCAGGAGCCCGGAGAUGGACACUGAGACACGGGUCCAGGCCCUACGGGGCGCAGCAGGCGCGAAACCUCCGCAAUGCGGGAAACCGCGACGGGGGGACCCCGAGUGCCGUGGCAACGCCACGGCUUUUCCGGAGUGUAAAAAGCUCCGGGAAUAAGGGCUGGGCAAGGCCGGUGGCAGCCGCCGCGGUAAUACCGGCGGCCCGAGUGGUGGCCGCUAUUAUUGGGCCUAAAGCGUCCGUAGCCGGGCCUGUAAGUCCCUGGCGAAAUCCCACGGCUCAACCGUGGGGCUUGCUGGGGAUACUGCGGGUCUUGGGACCGGGAGAGGCGGGGGGUACCCCUGGGGUAGGGGUGAAAUCCUAUAAUCCCAGGGGGACCGCCAGUGGCGAAGG
rnacentral:rRNA from 1 species